rnacentral:lncRNA from 1 species
AAAAAAAAAAAAAAAAAAAAAGAGCAAACAACCAGGGUGCGAAGUUGUUGAAGAAAGGAGAAAAUAGAGUGAGAGGGGGAAAAGAGGGAAGAUGAUCCCACCACUUGAUCACAUCGUUCCGCUGCUUAAAAUCUGUCCAAGGUUUCUCACUGCUGGCUGGUGCUGCCCGCUCCCCACCCCGGAAGAGCAGACCCAGCACGUGGCAGGGCUACCGCCUGCUGCAUCAAAACCUCGACUUUCCAGCGUCUCCGGGCCUGACGGGCUGUCCACGGAGGCAGCCCAAGAAGCGGCAGUGGUGCCAACGAUGGACUCACAGCACAUCCGUCGAAAGAACGGCCCCUGAAGUCGGCAACAGGAAGGCAACACGCAGAGACCCCUAUUCCGUGUGCACCAGCACUCCCUUUUCACUGGCUCUGCCACUCGCCCUGCCGAGGCUGCUGGUCCAGCCCUCCCUGCAUCUGGGAGCUGCGGGGCCCGUCAGCAGUCAGAGAUGUAAGCUUGACCCCUGUGUGGAACUUCUGCGAAGGUUUGUCGUGGUUUACAUCCAAAAUGCCCCCCAAAACUCUUACGCUCAGAAGCAGGGAUUUAGGGGAUUGGAUCACGGCUGGCUUGCUGUUAGGGCUGGGGCCUGGCUGGAGGCGAGUCUCUGAGGUGCGUAUCUCCCUUCUCUACUUCCUGGCCACCGUGCUGUGAGCAACUCUCCUCCUCCGCCCAGCCCUUCCCCGCCUAGGCCAGUGGUGGCAAACCCAGGGCACGCAUGCUGCAGCAAGCUCUUUGCAUCACUGAAAGCUCUAAACAGUUCACCAUUGCUGCCCUAGGCCGUUCUUGCCUGGGAGCUGUCCCACCAGACACUGAAACCCCUGAAAACCAUGAGCGAGACUUCCUCCUUUCAGUGUCAGGCGUUGUGUCUUAGAGACAAGAAGAGUGAUGAGAAAAGGCUGUGUAGGGGAGCUGCCCGAGCCUGGAGGAGAACCUUUCGUCCUUCCUCCCUCUCCCCCCAGGUGGCUGGUCACACAGAUGGAUAGACAGCCCCCAGGAGGUGGGCACACAGGAAGGAAAUGUGGACGAUGCCAACCCGGGAGCUUCUAGAGGGCCCUGAGUCCCCGAUGCCAGACUCCGUAUUCCUGAGAGGUAAAGAAACCUUCCUUUGUCUACACUACUGUUAUUUCUCAGUCACCACCACCAAACCACACCCAACUGACGUGGUGUCGCAGGAAACACAAAUCCUAACAGUGGCCAUUGUCCGUGAAUUUAUAGCCAUAAAUCCAGAUGGACCAGAAACAUCUUGUUGCUUUAAAUAAGUUUAAAUUUCAUUUUCAGCCCACAGAAUGACUAUAAGCCCCUCAAUAAAAAUCA